UGUUUGUUUAUGAUGGAGUUCUUCAAGAAACUAUGUAGUUGCGUUUGUAGUAAUAGGUUGUGUAGCGUUAUUGGUGGUGUUUAAGUCAAGGUUAUGUAAGGAGGUAGGUAGAAAAGUAAAACAGAAGACAAGAAGGCAAGCGUGUGAAUCAGUAUCCCCGUACGCGGCGUUUCAUCCUUUUGCGGACUCGUCAGCGGGGAGCAGGGUUGGCUUUGUGUGAAGGAACAAUGAAGAUAAGAAGUGAGUAAAAGUGGUGUGUGUUUGUAGGAGAAUCAUAAAGAAUCAAGGUUAAAGUUAUCAAACCUGCGUGAGAGUGUACUCGUAAAAGGCAAAAUGGUAAAAUUAAACUGUGUGUCUUACCAAAGUUGUUGUUGACUUUAGAUAAACCAACGCGGUGAGCCAUCUCAGGGUUGAUGUGAAAUCGAGUGUAAUUUUACUUAAAAAUUGUUUUGAAUUGCUUGACAGCAGAGCUUGUGUUCGAGCUUGUAUCCGUUCAAGAGACUUGAUCGAAAAGGGGUCAAGGAUUGCACGUGUGUGCAUAAAAUGCGUUAAUAUGUUACGUCACUGAGGUCAGGUGUCAAAGUCUGUGUUGGGGAUAGUGGGGGUUUACGUGUCAAUUAUGGUUGUGUGUGGACAUCCGAGGUUUAAAUGUGUUUUGGUUGUAAGUUGUACUUCAUGUAGUAUGGUUGGUUAUAAUUGUUGAAGUUCCGUUUUAUCACCGUAGUCAUGAAAUAAAAAAUUGGGUUGAAAUGUUUUGGAUUUUUGGCGAGGAAUUACAGAAUUACAGUGCAAUAUCGUCAUCUGUGGGUAGUAAACUACCCCGGGUUCUAAAAACUUCCGUGGGUCGAUGUUCGGCGAUGCAUCAACCGUGAGGGUUUCAAUCGUGAAUAUAAUAGGGUUAUCAAUUUGAGGUAGUCAAGGUUUUUAAGAUAGUUGUGUCAAGGAAGUUGACAGAUUUCUCAGAGAAGGAAAAGUCAAAUUUGAUGGUAUAAGAUUUUCAGGAGCUUGUUGGAGGAGCUCCUGUUCAAGUGCUGCCAUGAAUAUGUUUGCAUAGGUAGGUGCCAUUGGUGAUCCCAUAGCAGUGCCAU